rnacentral:rRNA from 1 species
CCUACGGGAGACAGCAGUAGGGAAUCUUCCACAAUGGGCGAAAGCCUGAUGGAGCAACGCCGCGUGGGUGAAGAAGGUCUUCGGAUCGUAAAACCCUGUUGUUAGAGAAGAAAGUGCGUGAGAGUAACUGUUAACGUUUCGACGGUAUCUAACCAGAAAGCCACGGCUAACUACGUGCCAGCAGCCGCGGUAAUACGUAGGUGGCAAGCGUUAUCCGGAUUUAUUGGGCGUAAAGGGAACGCAGGCGGUCUUUUAAGUCUGAUGUGAAAGCCUUCGGCUUAACCGGAGUAGUGCAUUGGAAACUGGGAGACUUGAGUGCAGAAGAGGAGAGUGGAACGCCAUGUGUAGCGGUGAAAUGCGUAGAUAUAUGGAAGAACACCAGUGGCGAAAGCGGCUCUCUGGUCUGUAACUGACGCUGAGGUUCGAAAGCGUGGGUAGCAAACAGGAUUAGAUACCCGAGUAGUC